rnacentral:snRNA from 1 species
CAUCUGUCCCCCCGUUGAUCUCCAGGGUUGAUUUGGCUGAUCUGGCUGGCGAGGCAGGUG